CCCAGCCGGGCUGCAGAGGAGGCGGCCGAGAACGUCCCGCGCCCGAAGCGAAGCGCUCCAGAAGGGCGCGCCUUUGCCGGCUGCUGGGUUUCCUGCAGUCAUCCCCUGAAGCUGGAGCUCAUCCAUUCGUCUAGGCUGGCUAGACAGAGAACUUCAGGAAUCACCUGUGCCUGCUUCUCCAGUGCUGGGAUUUAUAAGCGUGUGCUGCAGCUCUUCCUCACCUGUCAGAUGGGUUUGGACUCUGAGCUCCGGCUCUCAUGUUUGGAAGAAGAUCGGCUUAAAGCCUGUCUGUGUGACAGACAUAGUCAAAACCAUCUAAUACUGGUCUUCACACGAAACAACAGGGUGUCUCCCAAUCUUGUGUGAGGAGGAAGAAUACAGGGAGUAUGCUUGUCCAUUCUUCUUCCUUAGAUUCCCAUCUGUGACUUGAUAAAUAUUUGAUGCCGUGGCCAGUCAACAUCCCUACAUUAGCGAAACUUCUGCCCAGGAGCAAAAACUGCACCGCUCUCAGCAGUGAGACCGGACUCCUGUGUUAAGUUCCUGCCUGACUUCCUUGUAAGCUGAUAUAAACUCCAUGUUCCUCAACUUCCUUUGGUCAAAGUGUUUAAUCACAGUUAUGGAAAGCAAACCAUAACAGGCUGCCGAGAUGAUCCAUGAUACCUGCCAAGUUGCUUUUCCUUUCUCUUCCUCCAAAUUGCCAGCCAGAAUCUAUCCUAGGACCUGAGAGACCUGGCCUGAAAAGAUGAGCUGACCUGCAUUGGUCAGGAUCGUGCAGGUUUCAGGUAACAAGACAUCUGAGUCAAGGCAGCUGAGGCUAUAAGGACACCUGAUGUAACAAGACGUCCAAAGGUGCAGUACGGCCAGCUUCAAUUCCUGCUGCCUUUCCGGCCCUGAUGAACUAGAGGUGUGAUUCCAUCUUUCUGGGAGUUGAGACAGGAAGGAUCGCAAAUGUGAGGCCAGCUUCAGCCACACAGUCAGACCCUGUCUCAAAACAACAGAAGAAUAAAGACAACAAAAGAAAAAACAAGAGUAAAAAAUGGCACUUACAGUAAUGCCAACUGCUGUUGUUUAUUAGAACUUACUACGAGCUUUCUCUAAAUACCUGUGAUGGUUCGAGUAGGUAUGGCCCCCAUAGAUAACUCCCACAAAUUCCUCAUGUGUUUGACUGCUUGGCCCAUAGGGAGUAGGACUAUUAGGAGAUGUGGCUUUAUUGGAGUAGGUAUGGCCUUGUUGGAGGAAGUGUGUCAGUGUGGAGGUGGGCUUUGAGGUCUUAUGUUCAAGCUAUGCUCGAUGUGGUACAUGGUACCUUCUGCUGCCUACAGAGCAAGGUGCAGAGCUCUCAGCUCCUUCUCCAGCACCAUGUCUGCCUGUGCCUGUCUAGA
rnacentral:sRNA from 1 species